rnacentral:rRNA from 1 species
UCCGGAUUUACUGGGUGUAAAGGGAGCGUAGACGGAUGGACAAGUCUGAUGUGAAAGGCUGGGGCUCAACCCCGGGACUGCAUUGGAAACUGCCCGUCUUGAGUGCCGGAGAGGUAAGCGGAAUUCCUAGUGUAGCGGUGAAAUGCGU